rnacentral:lncRNA from 1 species
GGAUAUAAAACUUAUUUUUUAGAAAUUAAUUAUUUAUUAAAUUUACAUUAGAUUAGAAAAUUUAUUAUUUCAGACAGUUGAUUUGACCACGUGAUUUUUAGAAUGAAAUGGAUUUAUAAUCAGUUACUUUUAAAGUUAAAAUCAGUUUAAUUAAAUCAUUUCACUACCAUGUUUUAUUCGAACUACAUGUUUCAGUAUAGUCAAAGUUAUUUUUUAAAAACCACCAGAAUGUACCCAGGUGAUUUUACUCGCUUUACAUUGGUGUGAAUAUGUUUCCAUAGUGCAUGAUCAGUUAUGGUGAUUUUACCCACUCUACACUAUUGUGAAUGUGUUUCCAUAGUGUUUGACCAAAAUUACAGAAUUUCAGCUCUGCGUGUGUAUGACCAGAAUUUAAGAAUUAUAGAUUUCAGAACUAAAUAGUUUUACCAUGUAUAUCAGUACUAACCGAUACAUGAGUAAGGUUAUUCCGGGUACCUUUUUGGUGUGAUUUUUUAGUAUUUUUACAACUUAUCAGAUUUCAGAUUAUAGAAUUCGGCCUAUUCAGUUCUCAGAUUAAAACUUUCAGCUUAUAGUAUUGAGCAGCAGCAAUAUUUCAUAGAUUUUCAUGGAUGUCAUAUUAUUUAUAUUCGUUGCAUUUUACAGUUACUUAUCUAGAAGAACAAAGAAUUUUAUAAUGUUUUCAUGUUUAAUUUUAAAAGUGUUACCAGAUUUCAGAAUUUCUAGAAGUUUUAGUAGUGCAAUAAUUUUCAGAAAAUAUGUAUAAAUGAGAAAAGUUUACUUAUUUGAAAAUUAUCCACUCACUGAGCUUUAAACUCAUAUAUUUUUUCUCCUUUUUCUUUAUUGACAGAUAGCAGCCGAUUUGAGCAGCUUUAGAGCAUGUUAAAUCACCGAAUUGAGCCACGCUUCGUAGGUUGUAUGACAUCCUUUAUCAGAUUAUACAGUAUGUGUUCUUUUGGAGUACAUGUAUCUUAAAUCAAAAAAAUUCAUCAUGGGCUCAUUACAUCUUUGACAUAUUUGGUAUAUUUGAGGCUUGUUGGUUGUAAAGCAAGUAAAUAUUGAAUGGCUAGCAUUUUAUUUGAAUAGUUUGUAUUAUGAGGUACUGAGGUACCCUGUUUUAUAUUAUAGGUAUUGAAUUGUGGAAACUUGGUUAUUGUCCAGGUGGUUUUAGUUCAUAUUUUAG